GCCUUCAAAAAGAUUAGAACAUUUCUGUUGCUUCAUUGACAAGUGAACCUCCCUUUCCAUUUCCACUCUCUCCACUAAACCAAAACUCUCUCUUUCUCUCUCUCUUUCUAGAGCAAUAUUUUUUCUACUUCUGUUUUGAUCAUUCAUACAAAGAAGGGGUGGGGCAAAAUGGGAGUAAAGUUUGUUCUUUUCAAGAUUCUUGUGCUCAUCAUCAUAGUGAUAAUGGCUAUGGGAAAUGAGGGUAUUUUGGUAACUGCAACAACUGUUGGGACAUGGGCAGGUUCAAAGUAUGAGAUUGCAUGUACAAUGUGUGCAGCUUGUGACAACCCCUGUGCCACCCCAUCUCCGCCACCUCCUCCGCCGCCAUCAUCCUCUAACAAUUGUCCUCCGCCACCCUCUCCUCCUAGCUCCGGUGGUGGAAAUUACUAUUAUUCACCACCACCACCACCCUCCUCCUCCUCUAGUGGUGGUGGCGGCGGCAAUUCCUUUUACUCACCACCUCCACCUGGUGGUGUAAUUGGUGGUUACUACCCUCCACCCUACCAAAAUUACCCUUCUGGCCCUGUUCCUCCACCUCCUAAUCCUAUUGUUCCCUAUUUCCCCUUCUACUUCUAUAAUCCUCCACCACCUUCACAAUCUGCUGCUUUUAAGCUCACUCAUUAUUAUUCUUCUUUUAUCACCACUAUGUUCAUUCUCUUCUACAUUUUCCUUUGAGAAUUUUCCAAGGAAAAAUGUAAAAAUAAAGUGUCGGAAUCGCAGAUCUACAAACUUGCAGAGGUGAGAGCAAGAUGGAUUAAUCCUUUUCCUGAAGAUUAUUCAAUUCUCUUCAGAGAAAGAAAGGAGAAAAAUGGAAGGGUGAAUUGAAUAGCUGAAGUGAAGUUCUCUUCUUGCUCUCAUCCUGUGGAGAAUCUGUAAAUUCUUGACCAUUGCUUCGCAAUUUUUAGCUUCUUUUUUUGUUAACUUAAUUCAUAUUAAUGUUUCUAAUUCGUAUAGAAUGUAAGAAAAUUACUUUAGUCAAUUUUGCAAGAAUUACAAAGUCAACUUCUAACUAAUAGUCUAAUUGCUGUUGUGCUUCUAGGCAUUGCAACUCAGUUGCUUUUUCCACAUGAUCAUCUUACACAUGUUAAUCUUUUGCAUUAUUUAGCUCAUACACUAUAUAGAAUUGAUUUUUGUUUUUAUUUUUGAGUGGUACAACUGUACAAUAACAACAUGUUCAAAAGAACUGGUAUUUAAUAAGAACUUGAAAUGCCUUAGACAAAUUGGCAACGCAUGUUCAUAUAAUCAUUUGAUUUUCACAUAAUUAACACCAAAGAGAAGAAAAAAAGGGUUUCCGUUGCCAUAAAGGUAAUGAACCACCAAACUGGCAACGGUUUUAAUUGACAGUUGAAAUAAAGAAAAGGAUCAAAAUAUUAAAAGUAAGUGGGUGGACGAUGCUUGGUUGAAGAUGAGAAAUAGAGCAUUUGAAAUUGAAGUUGCAAUAAAUUAAUUUGAAAGUUAAAGUUCUGAUUGAACAUGAUUUUUUUUUCUUGCUUCAAAAGAUAAUAUUAUUGCUACUAAUUAUACUUCAUGUUUCAUUCUCUGUCUUGUACAUAAUAUUCAAAACUAAACAGGAUAGGAUUAAAAAAAGGACGAAGCAUUCUCUACUGGUUCGAGCUUUUUUUGGCUAGAAAAUCCGCUACAGAUUCCUUUUUUCUGUAGAUGUGAAGGAGACUUGAACUAGUCAAUCUGCUGGAAGAGUUAAAAUUUCAGUUAACAAUUUAAGUAUUUCUCUUAAAUAUGGGUUGAUGGUCAAAUCACUAAUUUACUAAAAUAUAAUUUAUUAUCAAAGGGUACAUAAAUGUAUUAUUAAUAAAUACUUCUUUCAUUUCAUUGCGUUGUAGUUUGCAGCUUUUCCAUAUAGGAAAAUAUGAAACUUUUAAUGAUAGGGCAUAAAUCUUUCCACAUGGCCACGAUGGAUUUGCAAAGAAAAGGAAGAUUCUUGAAAAGUACGACAUGUUUUUACACGUUGCUAUAUGCUAUUUGUCCAUACCAAGAUCCCCUUUAAAAAUAAAUUAAGUAUAUGUAAACGAAUACUGUUAUAUACUUGUGGAAGAUUGUCAGAGCAAGAAGAGAUUGAUUUAUUUCAUUUCAGAGGGAGCAUGCUCCAGUUAUGAGGUUCAAAUUGUCUAGUUUCUUGUUGAGUUUAGAAACUAAUCUUUUCAAUUUUUUGAAGAACCACACAACUGGAGUGCUUUUAGACACCCUCUUUAAGAAAAUAUUAUUUAAGAAAUUCGAAAAUAGUUAAUUCAAAUAAGUAUAGUAUCAUAUACUGAUAUAAUGCGAUAAACACUAUACAUAUUUUUUGUCAGUUUUAAGCGGGCAGUUAUUAGUGUGCUAAGAGAAAAGAAAUACGUCUUAUAUUAUUAGUGUAAAGUGAUGAAACAAACAAGGAAAUAAGUAAAUAAAUAAUAAAGCAUAGUUGAUAAGAAGUUUCAUCUUCUUAUCUUGAAUGAGGCAAGAUGAGCUGCCAACCUUCAAACAGUAAGCACAAGUGUGGGCUAAAAUGUCAUCAGAAGUUGGUAUUUCCUUCGUUAUCAUAUCGAACUACUUGCGCGAUGGGAAGGUUGGGUACCUUUUGUUUCACUUUGCACAUUUACAACGGGAUUUUAAUGCUUCCAAACAAUAUACAUAAGUUGUUUCUCAUCCAAUAUAAACAAGAAAAUUUAACUUAUACAUAUUAAUUACCAUGUAAAGUUUUUGUUAUAUUGUCAUUAUAUUUCGACUAGAUAAUUACUUUAUUUUCAAGUUAUAAUAUCAGGCAUUCUAUGAGUAAUGAUCUGUUAUCUAAUUGUAAAUAACUUACCCUCAUGAAAAUACUUAUACGUUAAAAAUACAUAAAAAUUAAACUCUAAAAUAAAUUAAGGCAUUAGUAACAAGCAUAGGCGAUGGCUGAAUUCGUCCCUAGCAAAUAUGAGGCAAUAAAAGAUGUCAUGAAACUUGCAAUAUUUUUACUACAAUAUAUAGAAUCACUGCCACUGGGACAGGAAAAUCGCUUAAACUUGAAGAUUGAACGUGAGUUCCUAUAUUGAUUUCUUUUAUUAAUUCAGUUAAAAUUUGUUAUUCAACCAAUAAUCUUUAACUAGUCCACCGAAUUAAAAUAGUAGGUGAAAUAGUUAUAAAUGUGCUCGACUAUGUGGGAAAGAAAAGAAGGGUGGGGGUGAAUAAUUGAGCAACAAGGACGAAAUAAAUAAAGGGAAGUUGGCUGAUGAGCUGUAUGGCAUUUUUAUUUGGGGUCCCAAACACACUACUUUGGACUAUUAAAUUGGACAAAACAGCUUCGCAAGUAUGCCCUAUGGGUUCCACAUUUCCAAAAAGCCAAUCCUAACAAAAUUUCGGUGGUCAAUUUUCUCUUUUUUAAUCCUUUAAUUUUUCACUACAUCCGUUUACUUUUACUUAUCAACUUUCGCACUUCAAAUCAUUUUUCAAAUCCAUUAAGAUUUAUACACCAAUUAAUAUGCGUAUCAUGAUAAAUUAUGCACUUUAUUUAUUAUUUCUUAAGGGAUGUGCAAAGUUAAUGGUGAACAAGUAAAAGUACACUGUGAGAGUAAUUAAUUAGAUUUCACCAUUAGUAACGUUCUAAUUUCACCAAAUCUUCUCUCUUUAUCUACUAUUAUUCACGAAUUCAUUCUAAUACCAACCAAAAAAAAAAUUACUACUCCGUCAAUUCCAAGUAAUCUAGAAUUCAAAAAAGAAAAGAAAGUUAAUGAUCAUAUCAUCGUACUAUAUUAUAAGCAUGAAGAUCAAAAGUUGAAUGUGAAAGAAUAAAAUAACCCUACACUAUUAUUCGACUUUUAUGCCCUUAAAAGUUAUUUUAAUAAUACCUUAAAUAUUAAUAAUAAAAGUUAGUUUUGUAACAUUAAAUAUGACUUGGGAAUUAUCAAAGAAUUUAGUAAGGUCCAUGUAUCUAAAUUCUUCACUUUACAAAGUUAAGCUCUUUAACUUCAGCGCAUAAUAAGUUUUUUGAGCUAACAUUUACGGUUCUUAAAUAAUCAAAUUAUUUUUUUUGAGCUAACAUUUUAUAUUCUCCUUUUAUUUUUCUUAGCUUAAAUAUUUAGAUUGUUAUUAGAAAUAAUUUCUAAGAGCAAUCUUUUUCUUAUAAAUACAACCAUGAUUCAAAGCGUUUUACCAUCCAUGUACAAGACGAUAUAAUUUUUUACUAAUUACAUGGGAUAGACACGCAACGCGCGUGCCCAAGGACUAGUAUGAAUAAAAGAGUGAAGUUAUCCUGAUAUCAAACGGUUUGUUUUGUAUCCGUGGUCAUACAACAAGCCGCGACACCAUAAAAUGAAAAAGAAAAAAUUAAAUUGUUCAUAAAUAUAUAAAAAAAAGUAUUCCCUUCGUUUUAAUUUAUGUGACAAAGCUUAAAUAAAUAUAGAAUUUAAAUUUAAAAAAAUGUUUUUGAACAUGCUAAAAAAAUAUCUCCACAUUAUUAGAUAUCUAUUUUAAUAAAAAAAAAAAACUUACCUUUAUUGCAGGAAAUAAAAUCCAAAGAAGGAAGUCAAGAAAGCAGAAUGAAGGAAUCAAGGAACAAAAGAUGGAAGGCUGAGAAUGGAGAAGAAAGCGAGAUUCAGCUGAAAAUCCAGAAGAAAGGAUUCAGGAAUCGAGAUUCUCCGAAAGAUCAAGAAGCAAGGAUUAAAGAAUCAAUCAUGUUCAUGAUUACGACCAUCAAGGAGAAUAAAUAUUCGAUCUUGUCUAUUUAUGAAAGUUAAGGGAAAAGAUAUCAAUCAGUCUGUGUGGAAGAAUUGCUAAUAAUAUUCAAUCACGACCUUCAAGGAAGCAACAGUCAUCACGCCACCUUGCAAGGCCAAAGUAUAGAAAGUGCCUCCCUUUUUCUUGGAAGGAGUCAAUUCAAGAUUCAUUCUAAGGAUCAAUUCCCUUGGGUUGCCGAUCUCCUAAGGAUCUGUAAUAUCAAAGAAGACUUGCUCUCAAUUCGUAUAAAUCCAGCUGAUUACGCCUAACUAUGCCUUAUAAAAAGGACUAAGCGGUCGUUGCAUAUAUAAUUCGGUUUACAAGUUCGGAAUCGAAUCCCACAGGGAAUUAACCUACUAAUCACAACUGCUAGUUUCGCAAGAAUUCAAGUAAUCAACUUCCAGAAAUAUUGAAUAAUGAGUUGAGUAUUUACUAACUAAAAGCAAGGUAAUUAGAAAGCAGUAAUUUAAUUACUAACAAAGCAAAUGUUGUAGACAAGAUUGGAAAGGUCUAGGGUUACGAUUUCCUCUCUCGUUGGAAUCCUACCCGUUACGUUUCCUAUAAACCUGCUUAGAUAUUCUCUACCGAUCGUGAGCAAUGUAGGUAUCGUAAUUCUCUUUCUAGUAAAUACAAUAAUUUACUAGACAUAUUCUUCCAAACUACGCUAGCUGGCACUAGUUUACCGCUCACUAAGAUCGCACCAAGGUUUCGUUAUUCCUAAUCUCACCUUUAAACCCUUCAUAUUGAUCCCUCAUAUAAGGUAUGAGUGAUGUUGUUCAACAACUACCUAAAUAUGUACCAUUUUUCAAGUAAUACACACUAAAUAGCCAUGGUCAAUUGAGGGCCCUUCAAUCAACCACAAUAUUCACGUAGUUGAACAAGUAGAGAAAAUCCAAGGCAAACUUAUAUUAAACGCAACAAAAAUUCAUCCUCCAAGAGAUUCCAUCAAACCCUAGAAUAAAGAGUUUUGCUGCUCGUAAUUAUUUUCACAACUACAAUAUAAGAAUUCAUCACCAAUAAUAGAAAAAGGAAGAAGAAAGAUAAAAACUCAUUUCCGAUUUUCUGCCUUGCUCUUUGCUUGUUCUUACCUUCAAAGAUAUUGUGUAACCCUUAAAAAGUUAUUCUUUGAUGUAUUUAUAUCACUUAGGGUUGAUGAGAGGCGGAACUUUUCAAUCCAACUUCGGAUGGGAGAAGUCGGAAUCCGUGUCUUCCUCCGCGCGUCGCGCGCUCAUGGAUGCAGAUUCAACUUUUGAAAUUCUUCCAUUUCGCGAAGCAAUCCGUGCCUUUGCUUCACUUCGUUGUUUUGUGCCUUCACUUUUCUUCUUUUUUUGCAUCCGUUUUCAUGCCACGCACGAGAAUAUACGAGCUCCCAAUCCUUCCACUUUUAUCCUUUUUGCAAUAAUUUGAUAUCUUUUGAUCCAUUAUCAUCCAAGCUCACUCAUACAAAUAAGAAAUACAUAAUGAUUAUAAUUUACUUCAAAGAUCAUGUAAUCUCCCGUAACUCACAUGACAAAUGAGAUGAAAAUACACUCAAAAUCAUACACUUUUGGCCAUUUUUCACCUCCUCACACUUAGACUUUUUCUCGUCCUCGAGCGAAUAAAAUUAAGCACACUGGCAAGAAAUAAAUUUUUAAACCUACUCAAGCCUCACGCCAAAGAUAUUGGUUUAUACCAACUCUUAGAACCUAGCAUAAGCACUACUCAUACUUUCCUCAAGCUUUACGUCAUGCCAAGACUAAUUAAAAUAAUUGUGUGACUCUCUCUAAUAUCCUAGCCUCAAAAUUUAACUCUGAUACAUCCCAAACUAAGACUCACUUCUUGUGCCAACUCAAAAACCAAAUUCAUACCAACAAAUCAAAAAGAGACAGUAGUCCACACACUCAAACAUAAGUUUAAGUAUAUUUUAAGGACUCUCCAAUCGAAAGAAUUCGCUCACUCUCGCAAAAAUAACUCAUAUGCCACCCAAGUUCGUACCAUAGGCUUACCCGUAGUGUAAGACUUGACUAAUUUAAGUUCGCAGAGACUUAGAUCAAGUAGAACUUCAUAGCUUGUAAUGUAGGCCAAGGGACCGAUAGGAUAUAUUUGGAAAAAAUAGUGAUUAUCCCUCCUAAGCAUUUUAAUACACACACUUCACUUUCAAGCACCUUCUUAUCACGACCAAGUCAACGUCAUGCCACGAACCCAUACACGAUUAUUGCCCUUCUUCUUUAAGCAUAUCGUCACGUAGAUGCUCACUUGCUUGGAUCAAUACAUGGGAGGUGUACUUCAAAAUCUAUUUUUUAAUACACCCCCCUUAAUUUGGUGUUUCUGGAUAGUAACUCAUUUAAACACAACACGCCUUCUCGGCCUUCAUAUGAUUCCACUCAAAAGCUACCUGGACUCUCUCUUUACUCUUAUAGUAACUUAAGUGCUUUCAGAAGUAAAGGGUGAAUAAGAUUUGAUUAAGAACAAAAGAAAUUUUAUCUUGUAAUGUGGGUGCCAAGGAAAAGGUCUACAGGCUCAAAAGGGUUGACUAUGAAUAGUAUUAGCACUGGUGGAUAAAAGUGGCUCAAUGGUCAAUCAAAGAAAUACCUAUAUCAUCUCCUAGCCCUACAAUACUUAAUCAUUUCGUUUCGACUCACACACGGAGCAAGUUCUAGACUAUCCAGGGAUGGCACGGAGUACAACUCAAAUUUCUCACCUCGCACAAUAUACAUGACCUACUUAAGAUGGCUCAAACUCGACUUUCAAGUUAAAGUUGCUAAGCACAGUCAUCAUAAAACUAAACCAUAUAGGAAGCACAUAAAAAGAGUCAAAAGAUGAGCCUAAGAGUCAGAGUAAAGUCACAUAUAUUUUCAAGGCACAUACAUACAAGAAUUAUGAGGAAAGUACAAAGCACAAAUGCUCCAGGUCUAAGCCCUGAUAUAAAAUAUGUCAUGAAGUACAAUACUCAAUCUCUUCCCAUUCCAAUAUCAGUUCAAAACAAACAAAUGAAAAGAAAAAAAAAUUGUAAUUUUUUCUAGAUUUUAAACCCUCAAGAAAUAUGUCUAGGCAAUCCAUCAUUGGGCAAAGUCUACAAAUGCUUUUACAAAGUUUGAAAAAGAAAGAACUACCUAAGACUACCCGGUUUAAGAAAAUGGCAUCCUCGAAAAAGAACCGUGGUUUAAAAAAAAUCAAGAAUUACGCCAAUAAAAAGCUAACUACAAUUAUACAAUUACAAUGGCCUUAAGUGUGAUCAUGACAAAAUGUAUCACUAGUAAUUAAACACAUGCCACAAAAAUCAAAUUUUGACACCCCCACCCCACACUUAAGAGAGUGCACUGUCCCCAGUUGCACAAUAUCACAUAAACAUACAAUAAAUGAUCAAUAGUAUAGUGGGUGUCAAAACCUCCAUCAUUAUAUCUCAGGCUGCAGGGAGGACCGAUAGAAAACCUCGGUCCGCAAUGCUGAUGGAUCCUCCAAUGCGAUACUAGAUGUGUUGACGAUGGCUAUUAUCUCACCCUCCCUAGUCGGAGCAGCAUCCCCAACAGCCACCUCUCGAACCUCCGUUGGCUCCUUAGUAGUAGUACCAUCAAAAACACUCAAAUCAGACAACUCUGCAUCUCCCGGCUCCUCAAAGUUUGUCUGGACUCCAAUAUGCCUCUAUAUCACCCUUCUCUGCUACAUUCUUGUUAGUUGGUGGUUUCUUUGGGGUGGCUUACCAGUACUACCGGCUCCCUGGCUUCUAUUUGGUAUUUUAAAGACUGCCAUAUCACCUGCAAAAGAUACAAAACACAUAUUAGUAUAAUGUGUAACAUUGAGUCAUAGCGGUAUACAUCGCACCCCACAUUUAGCCCUAAAGUGUAAGUGUGCAAUCAGGGUAUAAAUAUCCACUACAACUUAAUUACAUUGAAUUAAGGUUACUUAGCAUCAUUGAAAAUCAAAUGGGUAAGACGAUACAUACGUCGUGCACGAGUCGUGCCUAAGUUGGUUGCGGUUUGACAUUCGUUCUUAAACGAAUGCAAUUUGUGAAGACCCCCAAAUGGCUAUCCCAUAAUCAAGAGAUGUUCAUAUUACCAAAACAAUGAGUCUUGUUACUCAGACUUCACAAAGCCUAUCAAAAUUCUCAUUCGAGCAAUUUUUGAACACCUUAUAUGCAUAAUAUUUACCAUCAUAUUUCAAUGCAAUUAUAUGUGUUUUGCCCUCCAAAUUUGAGUGAGGUGGUGGAAAUUAUAGUUUCCCACCUCACUAUGCACAACAACCAACAAAAUCUAGACCAAACUAUGCUCCAAAAUAUAAAAUUCAAUUACUCUACCAAAAU
rnacentral:lncRNA from 1 species